UGCGGGCGCUCGGCGUCUUCCGGCACACGGACGCGGCCGUGCGGUGCCUCCUGCAGCAGCCGGGGGGGCCGCGGGGAGCCCCCCGGGGCUGGGGCGGCCUGCGGCGCUGCUGCUCAGAUGAAGGCGCCCACCCCCUGGAACAAUCCGUGGAUCCUCUCCCUGACCCGGACCCUCUGGAGGGUCCGGGCCCGAUCCCAGGGCCGCCCCCGGAGGCCGCGGAGGCCGAUCCCCCGGCCCGGCCCGAGUCCCCGUUCCCGGGCAGCCAGCAGCAGUGGCUGGCGCUGCGGCUGCACCGCGCUCGCCGCUGGCGCGUGCCAGGCCUGCCGUGUGUCGGGAACAGCCCCGAGGGCUGAGCCAGAAUAAACCUGGAAAUGGCA